UAAACAAAUUACAAAAUCCAAAAGUCAAAACAUUAAAAUCAAAAUAACCUCAAAUUAUGAGAUUGUGUAAUAAAAUGUAAUUGUAAUUAUUGUUUAUUAGAAAAUGUUGACUUCCACCCUACGAAAGACUUUAAUUUUAAUUAGUUCUAGAGGCUAUAAGAAUUUUGGUCACAAGAGACAACCAGAAGCUACAUUUACUGUUUUAUGGCAUGGACUUUUAACCUUUUCUUUCAUUGGCUUGGGAAUUGAAUGGAAAAAAAUUUCGAAAUACGUAUUUGGUAGUGAUGAAAAUACAAGCAUACCUACACCUAACAGUAUAGAGUAAGAAUGAUUUAGUUAUUUUUAAUGUUAUUAGAUUUUAAUAUUAAAUGUUACAUUUAGUUGACAUGUAA
rnacentral:lncRNA from 1 species